AACCUCAAUCUGUCAAAAAACAAACGUCAAUAAACUAUAUAUUUUCACAUUUUCUCAAAAACAACAUUUGGAAUUCAAAUUACAGCGGGUGCAAUUCCAAUCAGAAAUGAAAAAGCGAUGCAAAAAGUUAAAGUGAAACUGAAAUGGUUUUCAAAAUGUUUUAAUGCAUAUAAUGAACUUAUCAGAUCCAAGUCUUACUUAUAAGAAUCUAGAAAUAACAUGGGAAAGUUCUAAAAUACUUUAUUAAUCUUUGAAUUUUGAAAAAAAGGAUUGAUAUGGUAGUGAUAUACUUUAAUAAAUAAAUAAAGCCAUUCAAGCAAUUAUUGGAAGCUGAAGAGAGAAUGCGACAAUUAGAAAAAAAUUUUAUUGAAUACUAAGAUGAGAUAAAAUUAAAUUAAAUGGCUGUAUUAAAAAUGGAGUUAAUUUCGAGGAAGGAAACUGUAAUAAAGCUAAAUUUUACUAAGAAAUUGCUCAAACAAAUUUUUCUUUAUUAGUUUAUUUUUAUAGAGUGCCAAAAACUAUUUCUAUUAUUUAAACUCAUUUUUUUAGGUGCCUUUAAUAAAUAUUACGCAUUUUGAACUUAAUUUUAAUCAUUUUAUCACCUCCACUUUUAUGUUGGUAACACUUCUAACCUCAAUCUGUCAAAAAACAAACGUCAAUAAAUUAUUUACAUAUUUUCUUUAAGAAAUUUUCCAUUUUCUCAAAAACAAUGAUGAACCCCCAAACAACAUUUGGUAUUCAAAGCACAGCGGGUGCAAUUCCCAUCAGAAAUGAAAAAGGUGAAUUAUCGAUGCAAAAAGUUAAAGUGCACCGAUACGUAUCGGGAAAACGACCGGAUUACGCUCAAGACGGUGAAAGUUCAUCGG